UUUGUUUAUCCUCCAGUCGCGUGUGAGUCAGCCAGAUCAUGAUUUGUGGUGGUUUUGCUUAUGAAAUCUUACAUAAUCAUAUUCCUAUUGUCACGUUGGGUCGAGCAGUUAGGCCAUAUAGUGUUUUCUCAUUGCACAACGUCUGUGAAUCAAUAAGGAGAAAGGCUGAACAAUGAGAUGACGUUGGCUGGUCAGGAACCCGGCUCCUCGUCACCCAGGAGGCCGCUCUGCAGUUUCACAGAUACAGCUGGUGGCGCAGGAGCCGGGACACCCUCUAAAGCCACCGUGGCACAGGAUGACUGGGCUGGGUGGCGGCCUUUGGGAUGGGUCUCACCGAGGUGAUGUUUAAGAGAUGAGAGCCAGGGAACGAAAGAACAACAAUGACAACACUUCACACAGAAACCGACCAAUUUUUUUACUGCAUUCGGUACACGCUGGAUUCCAACAUGCUGGUCCAGAGCGUGGCUGGCUACAAGCUGGCAAGACUCUUACGGCUCCUCCGACAGGCUUUCCCUUCCCCGCCAUGUACAUUAUUUAUUUUGAUCCUACUCACUGUCCCAAGUCCAGAGGCAGUUAUUAAAAACGCUCUCGAUGCAAACAGUGAGUGGCUAUGACACACGGAUGAGGGUGGGUGCGACUUCCACAACGGAACGUGGAAUCUGGAGAAAUGGUCAGUGGAGGCAAGACGCCUCCUUAGUGGCUAAUAGUAUUAUGGAGCUCAAAACCCACAACUGUUUUUUUUCUGGUUUUUGUUUUUUAAUUCCUGGAGUAUAUUGAAACUAGUUGUUCCUAACACGAUUUCAUAUGGUAAAUAAAAUAUCUGACCUGAUUUAAACUUUGUUUGUUUGCAUACAUCUUUGAGGCGUGCACCUCAAAGUCAUUCGUAUUGAUACAGGAUGAAGAUUAUAAAUAUCCGCAUAAAAAGAGAAACGGUGUGACUCUAUAUGAAGACAACGACCAUCACAUUCCACAGCACAUCAUUGGUUAAUCUUUGAAUCGUCAAGCAUUAUUUAAAACAAGAGAGAGAGAGAGAGAGAGGGAGAAUAUAACUGAACACAAGCUCCACGACAAAACAAUCAUAACAACGGAACCAAACCCAAUUUCUCUAUUAAUCAUUUAAAAUUUUUACCUCUGUUUCUAACACUUUUCAUUAAUUGUUAUUUCAAGCUCCAGUAGCAGGAUCAGAUUUCUCCUGCCUCCGGGCAAGUGAGUUAUGAUCUGAUCUCAAGUUCCGAGGGAAAUGCUCAAAGUUUUAUUUUUCCCCAGUUGAAUAAACAGUACUAUGUAUAUUAUCUCUUGUGUUAGAAUAGUGUUGUCUUCACAUAAGACUCAAAUAAUGGUAUUAGUCAUUCAUUUCCUUGAACACAGACACCCUCAUGCGUGCUGACAGGUUUAUAAGGAUGUGGUGGCAGCCGUGGUUCUGGGAGCUGCUAGAUGACCGACUUUGAUUUCUUGCAGUCCUGAGCGAUGGAGCCCGGGUGUGUCUGGUUAUUGUCCGCUUUCUCUCCCAGAUGCUGGGCUUGUCUGGAAGAUUAAUACAUUAACAAGAGCUGAAGGUCCAGGGUUGCACGUCUUCAGACAUGUUUAUUAGCAGAUGGCACACAGGAUUCAAAGGUCACCACAAAAGUGACAUUUUAAAGUGAAACAACAAUAUUUAUGUUCAGAUAGUCUACUGAUGAGAUCAUGUGGAAAUGGUUUUGAUUAAAUUAGCUUAUAAAUGGUUGCCAAUCUAUAGACAACAGAAAAUACCGCGUCUGUUUACCAAAUGCUUUCUUCUCACGCUCUCACCUCUUACAUAUUAAUGACCAAAUGCUGUUUUGGGGCUAUGCUUAUUUAACCGGAGGAUCAAUGUAUCUGUUUUUCACUUCCUGGGUUAUCGGUUUGUUUUCAUUCUAAAAAACGUUAUCUCCUAUGGGCGUUUUGAAAUCUCACCUGCGAUUUUUAGGGCUUGGAAAGAAUUCGGAUUCCUCUAUGUAAAUGCAAUUGCUUUCAAUUUCUUUAGUAUAAAUUGGGCCUCUGGAGAGACCCAAAAUUCAGUCGCUCAGGUGAGACCUGACAUUCGAUAUCAUAAAAAAAAAACUAUGCACUCGAUUUCAGAAAUUCUUGCUACAGCUACAUUCUUGCCUUUGCAGUCCUUGGGAGCCACACUUUUGUGGCAACGGGUGCUUGUGUUUCUAGAACAACGUGGAAAACAAAAUGCGGUCAAGGGGAGGGGAUACCUCUUCUGGACUUCUUUUUCUUUUCUCUCUCUUGCGCCCACAACUUAGCAGGAGUGCGAGAGCAAGUUUGUAUGUCAGAAAAGGUUUAGACAGAAGAAACCUCAACAGUAUGAAGUAAAAACAGUAUUUUAAAAGUUGUGCAAGUCUCUAUAGUCAAUAAAACUCACAGAAAUAUUUCCAACAAAGGCAUUGAAAUGGAGAAAAAAAUGAUCAAUUAGUAGAUUAAAACUUUCACAUAUGUACUAGAGGAAAUGAAAAUGACCAUAUAUAUAUAUCGUUUCUCAUUUAUUUACAUUUAACUGUAAUAUGAAUAAUUUUGUAAGAUACAGAUAUUAUUGUCUUGAGGGUUUUUUUUACCUUAUUGUUACCUAUAUCUUAUUUUUUUUGCACAAUUGCAAAAUUAGAAAUGUAAGAAUAUAGCAGAAGAUUUACUCACUUUUCAAGAGAACCUUUUUCAAUAUUCAUUGCCCCUUCCAUUGGGUCCAGUCCUUGUUCAGAAAAUUGUUUCAAGGCACUUAAAGCUGCCUAAAAGUGAAAACAAACACACAAACAAGGAGAUCCAUUCAUUGACUUUAAUAUUAAUAAACAGGUAAUUGUAAAAGAAGGCUGAGAUGUAUAGUAAAGACUAUCAUUUUCACUGGUCUAAAUAAAUGCUUUUUUUGCAUCAUUUAGCAAAAUUACAUUUGAAAGGCUGUAUUAUCACGAAGCAAUUGUAUACUACGAGGGCCUUAUUUCUGUGGCGAAGUGGGAGGAGGUGGGGAGGAGAAUCUCCAAAGUUUCAUGCCUUAGCCCCCAUCCAUAAUUUUGUAAAAUCACAAAGUUUUUAUCUGCAAAUGUAGAAGCACCUAGUAUAAGCCUAUUAUAGUUUGACAUAUAAAUAUAUAUAUACACAUAUAUAUAAAUACAUAUAUAAAUAUAAUGUAUUAUAUUUUGACUAUAAUAACAUUUUCUCCUCACAUUACUGAAACUACACAUUCCCUUCCUUCAGACAAUGCAACGUCAGAUUUUCCCAAGUUAGGUACUCUUUCCAAAGUUAGCAUAAAGGUAUUGUUCCAUUUCAUAGCUAUCCCCAACCAAGUCACAGGAUGUGAGCAGAGAAAUGGGCCCAAGACACUCAUGCAUACAAAGGGGAUGGUACGAUGGUAUUCUGUGAGGAGAGAGAAAACGUGCACUCUUUGGGGCCCUGGGGAGGCAGGCCUGGCCACAGCAGAGCCUCCCGAGGUGUUGAUAUGCCCGUCUUGCGUGGGAUGCUGAAGGGUGUUGACAGGCUGGCUGAGCCUCGCUGGAUAGCUGGGAGGCACCAAAAAUGCGAUGCUGAUAAGAUCUACAUAACUUGUUGACACUCUUGUGCACGUUCCAAAUUGUUACUUCUUUGAAUAAGAAUUUGGUUCUCCUUCCCCUCCCCCAUUCCCCACCCCCUUAAAGCUCCAUUAGAAGGGCUUUGUUGAGUCUGAGAUAGGUGUGAGCGGCCAGGGUUGUUUGAAUCCUGGAGAUCCCACUGGGUCACACUUUGGUCAUCUGUAUCCUCUCAACUACCUUUGAAAAAGGGCUAACUCUUGCAGUUUCCCAAACUUUUAUCUGCCAAAGACCCCUUUUGGGUAGCUGACUGUGUGAUCCCUUGUAAAUUUCAUUAUUUGUAACAUUUUUUGGUUUUCAUUUUUAAAUUAAUAGACUUAAUUUUUUAAGAGGAGUUUUAGGUUUCCAGGAAAAUUGAGCAGGGAUGUCGGUGUCCCCCCCUCCCCCCCCCAACUCCUGGUCUUGGCCCAUGCUCGUACUAUGUAUACAGCAGCUGGCACAGGCUGACAUGGCAGGUAAGCAGUACUUUCAGUUGGGUAGAAGCAGUGUGGCUAUUUCAUUGGGGUACUAUUGCUGGUUGAAUUGUGUCCCCCCCACUACUCCCCAAAUCUAUAUGUUGAAGUCCUAACCCCCAAUACCUCAGAUGUGGCCGUAUUUGAAAACAGGGACAUUGCAAAUCUAAGUAAGAUGAAGUCCUACUGGAAUAGAAUGGGCCCAGAUCCAAUAUGUCUAAUGUCCUUAUAAUAAGGGGAACUUAGGAUGUAGACACACACACACACACACACACACACACACACACACACACACGGGGAGAACAGCCUGUGGAGAGGAAGGCAGAGAUUGAAGUGAUAGAACAGAAGCCAAGGGACGUCACCGAUUGCCAGCAAACUGCCAGAUGCUAUGGAGAGGUCUUGGAACAGAUUCUCCCUCACACCCUCAGAGGGAACCAAAACUGCCAGCACCUUGACUCUGGACUCCCAGCCUCCAGAACUGUGACAAGAUAUAUUUCUGUUGAUUAAACCACUCAGUUUGUGGUAUUUUGCUAUGAGAACUCUAACAAACUAAAAUAGGUCCAUCAUAAUUCCUCCUUAAGGACAGUAGAACCUCCUUUUCCUUUCUGUGAUGUUUCUUUUUAUUAUAUUUUUAUUAUAAAAAUAAUUUUCAUUAUAGGAAAAUCAUAAGAGGUACAAGCAAAAACAGUGUGAAAAUAUUCACAGGCCCAUCCACCAUUUACUACUUGGUCUAAUGUCUUUCCCUUUACUUUUCUAUCCCUUCCCCAUAUGUACAAACUUUCACCUGGAUCAUAUCUUCACACCAUUUUAUAACCUGCUCUUUUCAUUGAAUGUGAGCAGUUUUCCAUAUCAAUAAAAACACUUCAGUAGCAUUAUUUUGCGUGAGUGCUCAGUAUAUUGACUUUAGAGGUCCUUCUAUAUUCAGCCAAUCCCUACUGUUAGACAUUUAGGACACUCCCAGAUUUAAGUGAUUAUUAACACUGCAUCCAGAUUUCAAAUAGUUAAAUUUUUGCAUACCAUCUCAAUAACUUCCUUAUGAUAGAUUCCUAGAAAUUGAAUUUCUGGGCCAAAAAGCAUGAAUAUUUUUAGAUCUGACAUGAGCUUUUUCACCUCCCUCAGAGAGGUUGUGACCACAGUAGUAAUGUGAGGAGCUGAUGCUUCUUUAGGUGCUUUUGGAAUUAAUCUCUCAGAACCACUUUGUGGGUCAUUAGAGCCAACCAGUUUUGUCAUUUUAUGGCCCCACCUUAGUUUUCAUUUGUCCAUCCUGACCAUUUACCUUAUUCACUAGAUCUGGCUUUGAGUGAAGUUUGGUUGCUUUCAAAAAUUAAAUUGAGCCUCAAAAGACCCAGAUUUGGACAAUUCCCCUCCCCCAAAAGAAACCUGCAGAGGGAUUUGGCUCUCAUUUAAAAUCACUUGGGUAAUCUCUGAGGUCCUUCUAAGUCCUGCAAUGCUGGGUUGUGCUGGACAGCCUUCCCAGGUGACUAGCCUGGGAAAAGUCCUGUGGGUGUGCACAUUCUCAUGGGCUUGUUACAUGAACCUGAGCUGGAGUCCUGCCUUACAUAUGCAUGUACUGGGUGAGGCAUGAGGCCCACUCACUGCAAAGCUCUAAAGAGCAGUCCAUGCCUGACCUUUCCAGAUAGCCCAACUACAUUGGUGGGGCGGAGUGAGGGGGAGCACUAAUGAACUUACAGGUCUUUGUAUAUUCAACAAUUUUGAACAAAUGAACACCUAUUCUUUUUUUUAAUAUAUUUUUUUAAAUGUCUAUUUUUGAGAGAGGGAGAGAGAGGGUGCAUGGGCAUACGAGCGGGGAGGGGCAGAGGAGAGGGUGAGAGAAAAUCUGAAGGGGCUUCCGCACUGUCAGUGCAGAGCCCAAUGCGGGGUUCAAUCUCAUAAACUGCAAGAUCAUGACCUGAGCCAAAAUCAAGAGCCAGGCGCUUAAGUGACUGAGCCACUCAGGAGCACCUUUUUUAAAAUAAAAAAAAAGUUAAAUAAUUAUUCUUUUUUCUGAUCCAUUAGUAUGUGGAUUAUUGUCAGGAAUGCCAAUUUUUAUCAAUUGCUUCCCACGUGAACUAUUGUGGAAGGCUCUUUAGUGCCUGUAAAUUUAAAUGAGCAAUGUCAUAUUGCUGAAUGAGACACAUGAGAACCCCAGGGCUCCCUGGUCCCAAAAUGACAACCAAAAAUGACUUUUAAAAAUUUAAAAAACAACUUUAAAAAGUCAUUUAUAGGCUAAUUGUAGCCCAUUUUACUAGUUGUUGUUGGAAUACUUGUUGCCCAAAUACCAAGAACCAAAUGUCUUGCUACACCAAGUCCAGGACCCCGUGACACCUGCUCUCUUCUAUCCAACAUAUGAGAUGCAGGCCAGGUCUCAGAGAGCAGGUUCAGUGUUUUGGUUCUUGCAAAAUCUCCUGGAUGAUUUUACCAACAUGUCGGGCAGGUCUCUGUGCACUUUCAAAAUGCCUGUCGUCACUCAAAGAAUGUCCUGCAGGCUGGAAGGGCGGCGUGCUCUUUCACUCACUGCCAUGAACGGAUUUUCAGAAUUCUUGUGUGGCUGCUUCCCUCCAAAGGUAUGCUUAAAGGCUUCCAAACAAUAUUCCCUUAUUUAUCUGAUGAGAUAAUUUCAACCCACAUCUUAUUGAUAAUCCUGAAUACAAUUGCUUAUAAAUAGGAGAGGACUUCUUGCUAAUUUAUAAAAGACAAUGAAGACGAUAUAUCUUCUCUGUAAACAGUAAGAGCUACCAUUUGAUGAGCAUCACCGUGCCAGAGUCAUGAAACCAGGCCAUUUACCUGAGUGGCCUCAGGUGUUCCCACAGCCCGGCAGGUAGGUCCUACCCACGAGGAAUUCAGUAACCUAUUCAAAGGUCACACAGCUAGUAAGUGGCAGAGCAUGGAUUUGAACCCAGUGCACAUUCUUGACCAGAUCACUUUAUUUCCUUCCCACCUAGGCCAAUUUCAGCAUGGCUUUUUUCAAUAUUAUCAUUUCCAGAUCACUCUUAUACCCUCCUCCAUACUCAUUCUAUUAAUUAUUCCCCCACAAUAAUUACUGGAGGUAAGCUCAUACAAUUAUCUCUAUUUUCUAGACAAGGGAUUUAUCAUCUUGUGGGUUGACUUCUGAGGCUCUGUUCAGUGCUUCUGUAACAAGUGUAGAUUGGGCUAAAAUUGAAUUGCUAUGGUACUUAUUUUGUCACUUGAAUUACCCAACGGCUCCCAAACAAGGUGAUUCAAUUCUCCAUUUCUCAACAUUCUAAGGGUACCAAGUCUUGCUCAUUUAUUCAUCUCCCCUCUGUUGUUCUGAGAAGAGUUCAUUCCUCACCCGCCAGGGGUUGCUGGCCAGAGGGAAAAUCAAGCUGCACGGUUUGCCUGGGACUGUGGCAUGCAGGAAUGCUGCAGCAAGGGGAGGGGCUGGGAUGCUGGGACCGGGAAGAUGAACGGACAGGGAAAGGACGGAGGGCCUGGCUGUGAUUUAUAGAGAGUGAUAAGCUCAGUACUUUUAGGAAAGCAGAGAUGGGCAGGGGCUGCCCACCAGGUGCAUCCGCCCACAGGUAUGAAUGGAACACUGGCCCUGGCUGCCUCAUCUCUCACUUGUCAUGAGCUCAGCUGGGGAGCUGCCACCCUACCCCCAGUUCAUCAGCCACCACUUUCCCAGAAAGGAUACUCUGCAGAUUAAAAAAUUCCAUCUGUGAGAUGGGUGUGCUUCACUUUCCACAGCAAAGUGGCUACAAAAAUAGGAUAAUGCAGCAAUGUCCAAAAUAGCCACAUUACAUUUAGCAAGACUCAAUCAUCAGUCAUUUCAAAGAACAAUGUAUAAUGGAAUGGCUUUGCCAACAAAUGCUAACAUUUAAUGGUCCACCAAGACAUGUUACUUUGCACAUCCAAAUCUGUCCAGAAGAUGGUAAAAUCAACAAAAUCUCCAUGUUUCAACCAUUCCAACUGAAUAGAUUGUACUUGCUAGAGGCCAGUUAUUUAAAACAAUUAAGACUAUAUUAUAAAAAUGCUACCUGAUAUUAAAGGACACUGGAGUGAGGGAAAAGUCGAAUAACUCAUUUGGAGAGACAUUUGCAGCCUGCUCAAGGCACAAGUUCUACAUUGUCUACUACUGAGAGGGUAAAUAGAUAACGAGAGGCUCAGCUCCUACUGUCUGCAGUUCACCCCCUCAGCCUGGACAGUUUGCUGUGUGAUAAAUGUAAACUAAUGUUGGGGAGUCGUGGGAAGGAGGUAAAUCUGGGUUCCUUAAUGAGGAACAUCCUGAACGAUGAUUAAACCCAAGUUGUAUAACUUCCCACACACUGUGGAUUUGAGAAUUUCAAAGUACCCAGAACACAAGUACCCAGGACCCUCCAUACAGCUUCAGCCAUAAACAAACAGACAACUGAACAAUUUCAUUUCCAGGGUCAGAAAAUGUUUCCUACCAAAUAAAAACAAACUCACUCAGCAUCCAAGUGUGUGUUACUACGGUCUGACCAAGGGGAAUCUUAAACUUUAGCUUUAUGACAAUUUACAUGUUUUGAGAUUCUAAGAAAAGAGGAAAGAAAAGAAAAGAAAAAAGAAAAAAAAUCGGUACCUUCGAGGCAAUUCACGUAGCUUGGUUUGAAAGGAGAAAAAUUAAAGAAGCAUUUUAAGACAUGGAUGACAUUUCUUUUUCUUAUUCUUGUCUUUUCAGCUCAACACUUGUUCGUGUGUGUGUGUGUGUGUGUGUGUGUGUGUGUGUGCGUGUUUCCCUUAAAAGAAAGCAUCUACACAGAUACGUAGAAAUAUUUUUGUCCCCAAAAGAUUUUACAACUGUUUUGUGAGGAAAGCCCCACAGGUUCUUGAACAGAUGUCGCUACCAUUUCAUGUAUCACUUGUUUUGUGCGUAGUUAUAGCAAUACCAGAAACAAGAUGCCAGUAAGAUACUUUCCAUGCCUGUUUGUUGGUCUUGGUUUGCACGCAUGCAUGCGCUUGUGUGUGUGUGUGUGUGUGUGUCUGCAGAAUGGAGGUGAGUCUUCCCAGCCAUUUCUGCAAUUUCUAACUUUCCUCUUGUCAAUCAGAAAUUAGCAAAUUGUGUUGAAACCAGUGCCUAUUCCUCCUGCUUCCUUUUUCAGGAAUCAAACGCAACAGUAUUAAAUAAUUUUUUGAGACACAACAAUGGUCUUCACUGGCAAAAUGUGAAUUUUAACUCAUCCCUUUAUGACACACAGUUCUUCUCAUCUUUAAACCCAAUGCCCAAUGGAUACUUUUAUUUCUUUCUUUCCCCAUUUCACACUUUUCCCACCGAUUUUAUGUUCUGAAUCCCAGAAACAGACAGGAUGUUCCCAUUAAAGUCAAUGGCAACCACACAUGCCCGAAUGUGGCCUUCAUUUUUAAGCAAGUGCCCAAGGUUUGUUUUGUUUGCCUUUUCCCCCUGAGGCGCUUGUUCAUGUGGAACUCUUCCUGGGAGCCACUCUCACUGCUAGAUUCAUCUCAGAAUGCACACCGUGAUCAUAUGUGCAGCUCACUAAAUCAGGCUUCUUAAAUGAGAAAACGAUAGGCUUCAACAGCAACCGCCUUCACUUGUAGUUGAGGGCUCUCCUAACUUCUUGUCUCAACAAUCUUUGAGACUGGCUCCCUAUUAAAUCAUUUCAGCGACUGCAAACCAGCAGGUUCUUCAGUAAGCUUAGGGCUUAUUGCCCAAAGAACGUGAAUUUUAAUGUUCCUGAGUUAUCAUUUUCUUGCUUUGAAAGGUCUAUAACAAAAUGCCAACUCUCUCUUUCUAUAAAAUAAAAGAAACCAAAAAGAGAAAAUUGUAUUUCUAAAUUUUGUCACAUUACGAUAAGAUCCUCAGUCUAUCACAUUUCAGAUGAAUCAGUGAUAGGACUUUAAAAAUAAAAUGAUAAAGGAUUAUAUUGAGCUUUAACUAAACCAUUUGCUGUCCUGAUUCUAACAAUUUCAUAUAGCCUGCACUUUCCAUUUAUGCUCACAUAAACCUAUUGGUUCAUAUAAUUUCUGUAAAAUUCAUACUUUAUAAAUGACUUACUAUUGGAACAAAGGGAUGUCAGCCUGCUAAGGUAAUGGCUACUCAUCAUCAAAAAAUAAAAUAAUAAAAUAAAAUAAAAUAAAAUAAAAUAAAAAGAAGUCCGGCAGUGGUCUGAAGGCAUGCAUAUUUUAGACAGACUACUAAAGCAGAGAAUAGGAAUUUGACUCUAGAAUUUGGGGAAUUAGUACAAACUUGGGCACUGAAACUACAGACUUAGGCAUCAUCUAUAUUCUGUGGUCAGGCUCCUACAUUGGGUAAUCCACAUAGCUGCUCAUCUUGACAAUGAUAGAGUCAAAUUUAAGUGGGAUUAACGAUGCAGAGGAAUGUUUGCAGUGUGUUUAGAACAAAUUUUAGCAGUGGCAUCCAUGCUUCCAGCUCUUACUCCAACCAUACCGUUUCUGUUUUAAAGGAAACACUAUUCCUUUAAAAAUUCCUGUGUUGCCCUUUAUUUCAUUACUGUUGAUUCAACAAAAAAUCCCCUUUGUAAUGGUGUGUUACCCAAACAUGCUGUUGGGCACAAAACCAAGUGUCUAAGAAUGGCAGCAGCAUCACUCUGUGCUUGGCAGGAUAAUGCCCCCCCACCAAAGUGUCCAUGUCCUGAUCUCCAGGAUGUGCAUAUGUUACCUCAUAAGGCAAAAGUGAUUUUUCAGAUAAGACUGAGGUAUAAACAUUGAGAUGUGGAGAUUAUCUUGGAUUAUCCAAGUGGGUCCAAUCUAAUCACAUGAGUCCUUAAUAUCAGAGAAUCUUUCCCGAAUUUGGUGAGAGAGAAAGACAGGGCUGGGGAAAAUGGUCAGAGUAAUGUUGUUAGUUUUGAAGACAGAGGAAGGAAGACACAAGCUAAGAAAUGGAGGUGGGCUCUAGAAGCUGGAAAAGCCAAGAAGACCAAUUUGCCCCUCAAGCCAAAAAAAAAGAAAAGAAAAGAAAAAAAAGAACUGCUGAUACCUGGAUUUUAGCCCAGGGGUUCUCUAUAGAGAAUCUACAGAACUCUAAGAUAAUCAUUUGUUUUAUUACUUAUAUAUUAAAUUUUUUUCUUUUUUUAAAGUUAUUUAUUUAUUUAUUUUGAGAGAGACAGGUACAGUGUGAGUGGGGAAGGGGUAGAGAGAGAGAGAGAGGGAGAGAGAAAAUCCCAAGCAGGCUCCACACUGCCUUCACAGAGCCUGAUAUGGGGCUUGAACUCAUGAAACCGUGAAAUCAUGACUGAGCUGAAAUCAAGAGUUGGUUACUUAACCAACUGAGCCACCCAGGUGCCCCAAGUUUAUUUAUUUUUUGAGAAAGAUGAGAGAAAGAGAAAGAGAGAGAGAGAGAGCAUGAGCAGGGGAGGGGCACAGAGAGAAGGGGACAGAGGAUCCAAAGCAGGCUUCCUUGCUGACAACAGAGAGCCCAAUGUGGGGCUUGAACUCAUGAACCAUGAGAUCAUGACUUGAGCCGAAGUUGGAUGCUUGACCAAUUGAGCCACCCAGGUGCCCCUUAAGAUAAUGCAUUUGUGUGGUUAAGCCACUAAGUCUAGUAAUUUGUCAUUGCAGCAAGAGCCAGCUAAUACACUCUACCUGUCAUCUGGACAAGGAAGGGAGGAGAGCACGGCAUUUGGAGCCCGUCAGCCCUAGACUAAAAUUCCAGCCCUACUGUAGACAAGUUGUGUCUAUGCAAGUUACUUUAUCUCUCUGAGCUUCUUUUUCAUCAUCUGUAAAUUGGAGACUACAACACUUACUGCAUUGGAUUGUUUGAGAGGUUAACGUCUGGACCAUGAAUGAAAGCUUUUAUUACAAAAUUUUCUCUGUUGAGACCGACAUCCAGUCAUAAAAUUUUUUAUACUCUCUAUCUCCAUGUUAUUUAUGUCCAGUUUUGUAUGCAUUUCUAUCUUUUUUCUAGCAUAUUGCUUACCCAUCUUUCUUCCUAAGAGAACCCUAUCAUUAUGCCUUCCCCUUAAUCAAAAGCCACUACUAACUUCCAGCCACCAAAUAACAUUCUGUAUCCUUGGCCUGGCAUUCAAGGCCAUGCAUCAGCUGGCCCCAUUCUACUCUAUAACCUCAUUUACUGCAAUUUCAUUACAGUGUGUUUCCCAGAGUGUGAUGUCUGAGCCAACAGACUGGUCACCAGCCUCAGGAACACCUGGCAGGUGUCAGUGUUAUCAAGAGCUCCCCAGCCAGUUGGCCUGAGAGACACCAACAUUGCAGAAGCCCUGCCCACAUGGAUCUUCCACCCUGGUCUGUCUGGUCUGCCUCCUGUCUGAUGGAGACAUCUGAGUUUUUUUACCUCUACACCUUUGCUCCUGCAGUCUUUCAUUUUCCUAGGGUGGACUUCUCUGACUCCCAGCCUGUCUCCUACCCAUGAACUUCUGACAGCCCUUGCCAUUUGCCUCCCUGAACUGUGGGCUGUCUUCAACGUGUUUAUGUCCUGUCUCUCACGUAGUUGGUCAGCCCUUGGUUGGAAGAGCCAUUUUCCUGUUUGAAACUAGCACAAUGUAUUUACAGAAGAUCCUCAAGGAAUAUUGCUUGGUUGGUUAUCCACCAGCUUCCAUCUGGAGCCCCCUAAGACAGAUAAGUACUCACAGACACAUUUGUGCUUUGUCUUCUCUCUAUUCUGUAAGUGAGCAUCUUGUUCUAGCUGGCUUUUCCUUACUUCAGGGCAUCUUCCAAAGCUUCUCUCCUAUGAGGCUCUCUCUCCUUCUUUCACACACCCCUCCCAUCCUCACCCUCACACGGGCUCUGCAGCCAAUAUGCUUUAGGAUAAAUGGUCCCGAGAAAGUAGAGCUGGGUCAUCUCUAUCCAUGUAAGAGAAGGUUCUGUCCACAAUCUACCAAGGAAUACAGAUGAUAGUUACUGACUUUUUGAAAUGUCAACCAUUUGGGUUUGGCUUCUGUCAUCUUUGAUGUCUGUAACCAGUGCUUCCCCCUCCCUGGGCUAAUGUGAGGGCUACAAAGAAAGUGCCUGGGAAACCCUACCUGGGAGGACCCAACAAUGGGGUGGCACAUCCUGAAACAGGAACAGAGGUGAGCCUCUCCCACCCAAGGCGAGCCUGAUUCUGCAGGGCAAUGGUGCCUGAAUUCUGCCUUGGCAGCCCUUCUCCCCACUGUCCUAAAGGUCUCUUUGGGAUUUCUUGGUUCUUUGACAUCCUACUACGAAGAGAUGGAGAAGCAUUGCUACUGAAUAUGGACACACACUGCUCUGCCUAUUCAGAAAUUCCAGUUAGGUUUGAGCAUAUGAUUGAAAAAAAAUGUAUAGUUAUUUCAUAGUUUUUAUUGCAUUUAAUGGGUUCUUAGAUUGCAUGGCUGUAGGGGGUAGCUGGGAACAACAGGGAAUGAUGGUCAAACAAUAUAACCUAUAAAGUUUUGUUUAGUUUUGAACUUUUGGUUGUACUGAAAUAGAGUCCAAGUUCGCAGGCCUUGCUGAUUCCCUCAAUGAGUGAGGCAUGCAGAAGCCUGAUUUCUUUUCUUGGGGCAUUUGGUGGCCAUCCUAGUGGUCAAAUUGCAGCAGAGAGGGGGCCAGAAUAGAUCUUUACCUCCAUCCCAAAUGUCUCCUUAGCCUCUUACUGAUAUCUGAUCAUAUAUAUAUAUAUACAUAUAUAUAUAUUUACUUUUUAAAAUAAAAGCAUAUAUAUUUACUUUUUAAUAUAUAUAUUUUAUAUAUUUAUAUAUAUAUUUUAUAUAUUUUAUUUAUAUAAUAUAAUAUAAUAUAAUAUAAUAUAUAAUAUAUAUUUAAAAUAAAAGUAUAUAUAUUUACUUUUUAAAAUAAAAGUUCCAAACAUCCAAAAAAGUACAAAGGAUAGUGUAUACUGAACCCCCCUGCCCCCCCUGCCCUACCACCUAUCACUCAGAUCAAGAAUUAUUAGUAUUUUGGGGCACCAGCAUGGCUCAGUCAGUUAAGUGUCUGACUUUGGCUCAGGUCAUCAUCUCGCGGUUCACAAGUUCGAGCGCCACAUCAAGCUCUGUGCUGACAGCUCAGAGCCUGGAGGUUGCUUGCAAUUGUGUCCCUCUCUCUGCCCCUCCCCUUGUGUUCUGUCUCUUUCUUUCUCUCUCAAAAACAAACAUUAAAAAAAUUAAAAAAAAAAAAAAGAAUUAUCAGUACUUUUCCAAUCUUGUUUCAUGUAUCUUCAUGUCUUCUGUAGGAUUACAAAUCAGGUAUCAGAUAAAGACACAUGGCACGAUCACACCUAACAAAAUUAAGAACAAAUCCUUUUUAUCAUCUAAAUACCUGGGUCAUGUUAAACUUUUCCUGAUGGCCUCAAAGAUGUCUUUUAACGUUGGUUUUUGAAUCUACAUCCCAACAGUCCACACGUUGUAUCUGACUGUUCUUUUAAGAGCUAGGAGUCCUGUGGAAAGCAGAAUAAUGGCAAAGAUGUCCAGGAUCCAAUUCCCGACGGGACCUGCGGAGGGGGGAUUCACGGCCAAUCCAAACGCAAGUCUUUAACCUCAGGGGUCCUCUCCCAGCUCUGGUCAGAGGUGGUCACAUGGCGGUGCCAGAAGCCUCAGAGGGAUGUGCCUUACUAGCUUUGAAUGCCAAUGAUGGGACCACGAAGCAAAGAAUGUAGGAAGCUUACAGAAGCUGGAAAAGGCAAGGGCACGGAUUCCCCCCGGAGUCUCCAGAAAGGAACACAGCACCGCCGACACCUCGAUUUGAGCCCGGUGAGAUGGUGUCUGACUUCCGACUACAGCCUGUGAGAUGAUACGUAGGUGCUGUUUUAAGCCACCAUUCCUUUAGCGGGGCACUGCGAGUCACACGGGGGUGUGAAGGUCUGAUACCGUACUCUCCUGAGACCAGCUGGUGUUGGGCCUGAGAAGGAGAAUGUCCGGGAAAGAGAAGGCUGGGGCUUGGGAAGAAGUGGGGCCAGCUGUGCCGGGUGCCUUGCUGAUGCCACUGGCCGUCUGCUGGCCACGUCAGGCAGGACUGAAGGAGCUCUCGCCCCACUCCGAGCAAGCGGCACGCCAGUGUCAAGCCAGUCAUCACCUAAACCCUGUUUGGACCAGCCCCCACCCUUAGGGACCCAUGCAUCACUCUCCUUUUCACCCCUAAUGCUCUGUCCUAACCUCCUUUUUGUUCCUCAGCAGGGAUAAGCUCUUUCCCACCUCGGGGGUUCAGGUUGUCCGGUCCUUCUGGCCACCCCUUCUCAUGACUGGCCGCUUGUCAGCCUUCAGGUCUCAGCUCCGGUUGAGUUGGGGCGGGGGGAGUGAACACCCCGUCUAGGGUGUCCCCCCCACCCCCAGCAAAUCACAUAACCUUGUUCAUUUUCCUCAUAACACUUGUCACAGUCUGUGAUCUACUAGAGGAAGGGGCUUGGCCUAUCUGAUUCAAAACUGGGUACCAUCAUUCACUCAACAAAUAUUUAUGGAGAACCAGGCUCCACACGAGGUACCAGGAAAACCAAGAGCAACAUGCACAGUCCCUGCCUUCUGCGCUGGGUCUUGCAGCAGGGAGAAAGGCACGAGGCCAACACCAAUCUACCAAGAUAAUCGCUGUAAGGAAGAAUGUACAGCUGAAGUCAAACUGAGAAAGGGCACUCAGGUCUCCCUGGGGAACACCGGAAGUCACACAGAGGCAGCACUUGGGGUGAGAUGUAGGGUGAGGAGGACUUUUUCAGUGGGGCAAAUUGUGAGAGGAGGGUGUUGUCAGCAGGGGGGCCUCCUCGUGCAAGGCAGUUCAGAAUGGCUGGAUUGGGAGGUGGGUGGGAAUCGACAGGCACAGUGUCCUGGACAAUUUGAAAGGUGUUGUGUAGAAGACGGAAGCACCUUGCUCUGGGGAAAGCUGGGUCAAGCCCAAAAGAUGGAAGCCAUGGGCAAAGGGAUUUGGCCUCCAAACCGGAAGGGGACUGUGCCCCCUGGGAGUGCGGCUGGCUGCUGAGGUGGGGCCGGUGAUGUGCACUGCGUGGUUCCACUGGCUCGGUCGUCUGUCAGGUGGGAGGCAAUGCCGGCCGCGGGGGGCCAGAAAGGGCCUCUCACCUCUGGGGCUCUCUGAUACUCACGUCAGGCCUGCUUACCCAGACAAGGCCACACAGGUAAAGGACACCAGCACACAUACAGGAAGACAAGGGUUAUCGGGGAGGUGACGGAUGGAGCUGUGUAAUGUGUUGAGUAUGGUUUGCAGGUGAAAGUUGAGUUCUCCGUGUGAAAGGUAUAACUUGGCCUGAGCUUCACCAGUGGUUAUGUGAGAAAGUAUCUAUGCUCAACGUCUCCAUUUAGAAGACUGAAUCAUUAAAACCAUCCUAUCAAAGGCAUCAAGCGACGGAUGCAUCUGAGGGAGGUGUCCUGGGGGUGUCUGCAGUAAACAGUACUGUGUGGAACAUGUUUAGCAGUUGACCCUCCGGGGAAAAGAUCCUAACUGGUAAUCUCUCUGGCUCCCUGCUUACUGCUAGCAGGCAAGGCAGCAAAGUGGC
rnacentral:lncRNA from 1 species